rnacentral:rRNA from 1 species
AUGAAUAUGAUAGUGCAGUGCAAGACGCUGCUGAUCCAUGAUGGUGGUCAGAGGCAGCAGGAGGCGACGGCGAUGACUGAUAUGAUCAAUGACAUCAGGGACACACAGGCAGCUGCGAAGCAUUUCACGGACCAGCCGAUGAACAGGAGAAGCAAAGACGGCAUCUCCUGCAUCGUCAAUGGGCGGCUGCCAACCUGGCACCGCCCAGCUUCCUCUCAUGAGGCGGCACAAGGUGGCGCCCCAACCCCUAGUAGUAAUAGCAGCACGCAGCAGGAGCGGGCGCGCGACCACACACGCGCGGGGAGCGGAGGAGCCGGGGCAGCGGCGUGCGAACGCAGGCGGCAGUGGCCGCGGGAACAGCAGCAGUCGCAGCGCAGCAAGCCACAGCGGGCGGCAACAACAGAAAUACCGCUGAUCGCUCAAAACACUCGAUCGCUGGGGAUCGGGGAGAUCGGGCUGCUGGCCUGCUGCUCCCUGGCGCGCGCCUGCCUGUAUGGGCCAUAG